UACAGAGGGGGCAAGCGUUGUUCGGAAUUACUGGGCGUAAAGGGCGCGUAGGCGGCCUUCUAAGUCGAACGUGAAAUCCCCGGGCUCAACCCGGGAACUGCGUCCGAUACUGGAAGGCUUGAAUCCGGGAGAGGGAUGCGGAAUUCCAGGUGUAGCGGUGAAAUGCGUAGAUAUCUGGAGGAACACCGGUGGCGAAGGCGGCAUCCUGGACCGGGCAUUGACGCUGAGGCGCGAAAGCCAGGGGAGCAAAGCGGG
rnacentral:rRNA from 1 species